rnacentral:piRNA from 1 species
GGAAAAUGGACAUUAAAAACGAAGACGAUG